rnacentral:rRNA from 1 species
UACGUAGGGUGCGAGCGUUAAUCGGAAUUACUGGGCGUAAAGCGUGCGCAGGCGGUUCGUUGUGUCUGAUGUGAAAUUCCUGGGCUUAACCUGGGGGCUGCAUACGAGACGUAUGGGCUUGAGUGCGGAAGAGGGUCGUGGAAUUCCCAGUGUAGAGGUGAAAUUCGUAGAUAUUGGGAAGAACACCGGUGGCGAAGGCGGCUCUCUGGACCGAGACUGACGCUGAGGCGCGAAAGCGUGGGGAGCAAACAGG